rnacentral:snRNA from 1 species
AUCAUUCACGAUGGUACAUCUUUCAAUUUUAACAAUACAGAGAAGAUUAACAUUGUCCUUGCAUGAAGAUGACACGCUAUACAAUAAGAUUUACCAUUUCGUA